UUCAGAAAGAAUACUUGGUAUUGCAGAGGUGACGUCGAUUCCACCAAAGGACUUCCAGAUGACCCACAAAGUCAAGAUGCCAAGUAUUAGACAGACUGCGAUAUGGAUGAGUUUUACGAAAAACUAAGACCAGGACGUACAGAAUGAACUAAUUUGACGAUUUACGAAGAAGAAUUUCGAACUAGAACGCAAGAUUCACUGAUUGAGAACUUGAGGUUUUCCGCACGAUUGGGAGAAGCAAUGAUCACUAGAUCCCGUAACGUCCGAAAGAUAGUUAAUCUGCGUGUGAAUGGUCAUGCCGAGGAAAGAUGUGAUUGCUGUGUUCCAAGCUAAAGAAAUUAGUGCGUUACAAACGUAAUCCACGGGGACAAUAUCAGCUAUUUUACUGGUGUCUUGCAGGAGGACGUGAACGAUGCCUAUGCCACAGGCAUAUACCAAGCCUGCCAUA